rnacentral:piRNA from 1 species
UCCUAAAUAGACCUAUAAAAUUUAUGAAUUU